AGAGUUUGAUCCUGGCUCAGGAUUAACGCUGGCGGCGUGCAUGAAACAUGCAAGUCGAGCGCGGUGCGUGCGGGGGUAACCCCAAUCGCAUCUAGCGGCGAACGGGUGAGUAACACGUGAGCAACCCACCUUCGAGUCCGGGAUAGCCCUGGGAAACCAGGAUUAAUACCGGAUGUGGUCACGACGUGGCAUCGCGUUGU
rnacentral:rRNA from 1 species